CCUACGGGGGGCUGCAGUGGGGAAUAUUGGACAAUGGGGGCAACCCUGAUCCAGCCAUGCCGCGUGUGUGAAGAAGGCCCUCGGGUUGUAAAGCACUUUCAGUGAGGAAGAACGCCUGGUGGUUAAUACCCAUCAGGAAAGACAUCACUCACAGAAGAAGCACCGGCUAACUCCGUGCCAACAGCCGCGGUAAUACGGAGGGUGCGAGCGUUAAUCGGAAUUACUGGGCGUAAAGCGCGCGUAGGUGGCUUGAUAAGCCGGUUGUGAAAGCCCCGGGCUCAACCUGGGAACGGCAUCCGGAACUGUCAAGCUAGAGUGCAGGAGAGGAAGGUAGAAUUCCCGGUGUAGCGGUGAAAUGCGUAGAGAUCGGGAGGAAUACCAGUGGCGAAGGCGGCCUUCUGGACUGACACUGACACUGAGGUGCGAAAGCGUGGGUAGCAAACAGGAUUAGAUACCUCGGUAGUC
rnacentral:rRNA from 1 species